GACGAACGCUGGCGGCGUGCUUAACACAUGCAAGUCGAGCGGUAAGGCCCUUUCGGGGGUACACGAGCGGCGAACGGGUGAGUAACACGUGGGUGACCUGCCCUCAGCUCUGGGAUAAGCCCUGGGAAACCGGGUCUAAUACCGGAUAUGACUCCAUGACGCAUGUUGUGGGGUGGAAAGCCUUGUGCGGCUGAGGAUGGGCCCGCGGCCUAUCAGCUUGUUGGUGGGGUGAUGGCCUACCAAGGCGACGACGGGUAGCCGGCCUGAGAGGGCGACCGGCCACACUGGGACUGAGACACGGCCAGACUCCUACGGGAGGCAGCAGUGGGGAAUCUUGCGCAAUGGGCGAAAGCCUGACGCAGCGACGCCGCGU
rnacentral:rRNA from 1 species